GGGAGCGGGCGAAGCCGGCGGGUGUUUGAGUAAACUUAGAGGGCGCUGGGGGAGAAACGCCUCUGCCCCGUCUGCUCCGUCGGCGUUCAAGUGUUGGCGGCAAUAAACGAGCUUCCCCAGUCCCGAUAAAGUGGUAAUUUCAAGCCGUCCUGCAGUACCGGUAUCGGUGUGUAUAGGGGAGCAUGGCUGCUAAGAAACUGAGAAGAGCAAGGUUGUCUCAGGAGCUGUGUGAAAGGCUGAGUCGCCAUCAAAUCACUACCUGUCAGGACUUCUUAUGUCUUUCACUAUUGGACCUAAUGAAAGUGACGGGGCAGAGCUAUGGUAAUGUGCAGAAGCUUCUUUGUAAAGUCAGCCUAGCUUGUGCUCCCAAAAUGCAGACAGCUUAUGAAAUGAAAGUGAGGAGGGCUGUCAACCCCUCCUCAGCCUUCUUAUCAACCAGCUUGCAUGGUCUGGAUAAAGUCUUGCAUGGUGGAGUGCCCUGUGGAUCCCUCACAGAGAUAACUAGCCCACCAGGUUGUGGCAAAACUCAGUUUUGUAUUAUGAUGAGUGUUCUGGCUACACUACCUAUAAGCAUGGGAGGACUGAAUGGGGCUGUUAUAUACAUUGACACAGAGUCUGCGUUCAGUGCUGAAAGGUUGGUUGAGAUAGCAGGAAACAGAUUCCCUGCUUAUUUUGACUCAGAUGAAAAGCUGUUUUCCAUGACCUGUAGCGUUUACCUGUAUCGCGAGUUGACCUGUGGCAGUGUACUGAAAAGGAUUAAGUCUUUGGAAGAAGAAAUUAUUUCAAAGAAAGUUAAGCUUAUAAUAAUCGACUCUGUUGCUUCAGUCGUCAGAAAGGAGUUUGAUACAAAACUCCAAGGCAAUCUGACAGAGAGAAGUAACUUUUUGGCUAGAGGAGCAUCACUGUUGAAGUAUUUGGCAGAGGAGUUCUCAAUACCAGUUAUCUUGACGAAUCAAAUUACCACACGGCUGAGCAAUGGCCCUGCGAUCCAGGCAGACCUGGUGUCUCCAGCUGAUGAUUUGUCCCUGUCUGAAGUCCUGGAUUCCUCACUCCAAAGCCAUCCUUUGGUCAGGCUGCCAAAGAAUAGGUUGGAAAGCAGCAGGAUUCUGCUGGAAAUCUGCUUGGCAGGAGCCUCUGGAGGCAGGAAGAGGGAAUCUGGUUGUGUGACAGCAGCACUUGGCAAUACAUGGAGUCACAGCGUCAACACCAGGCUCAUACUACAGUAUCACGACUUGCCAACAAGACAGAUCCGGGUUGCUAAAUCCCCUGUUGCUCCAUUCUCCACUUUCUUCUACACCAUUGAGAAAUCGGGCUUUGUUCUUCAAGGAGACCCGAUUUUGAAAGUGACAGGAGGAAUAAAGCAGAAGUGACUAGACCUUCACAGGAUUGCACAUGCAGCCCCAAAGACUACUCUACCUACGAAGACAGCUCUGCUUGGUCAAGUACUCUGAGUGCAGGAGAAGGAACCCAGAGCGCCUGCAUUCUAACCCUGCCUCUGACACAGAGAUGUUGAGAAGAUGCUUUAACUUUCGUCUCCAGACUGUUUUGCUGAGUGGCUAAGCAGGAAAAUAGUUCCUAGUUAAAUGCUUUGCAAAAGUUCGGUGGGCUUAAUUAGAUAUUGGCCUAUGAGUUAGCAACAUUAAAAGUACAAGCAGCAGUAUCAGUGCUGAGGAUUUUAACCACAGUCAUCUGUUUCAGUGUCUCUCUAAUUCUUUUAACUUAAUUAACAGAAAUUAAUCUUUUAACUUGAUAAGUUAAUAGUUUUACAGAUUAGAGUCUGUGAAAGACACCAUAGCAGAUCUCCCCCAAAAUGUAGUUGUAUCUCAUUGUAAUUAUGGAUAAGAAAUUUACUUCAUGCAUUAGUAAAAGAGGAAAGUCAGAAUACCUUGCCUUUCUCAACUACUUGGCAUUAAAGUAUCCAAAAACCUACAGCUUCAGGCUGUGGUUCUGCACUGAGUCUGUAGACUUCACUUUAUACAAAUGAGUGGUCAUUCUGCCUGAAUCAAUAAAGCAUUACCUAGUUGUAGAAAGCACUUUCUAGCUAUAGAUCUCAAAAGAACUUCACAAAGAAGGGCACAAGUACUAUUAUCCUCAUUUUAGAGUUGAAAUUGCGUAAUACAGCAAAUGGUAGAAAGUGAUAUUAACCAGCAGGGGUUUUCUGGCUCCCUUCUCCCCACUCUGACAAAUGGGGGCUGUAAUAGUGAUCUCUGCACCCUUCAAUUUAAAAUAUGGAAAGAGGGCGAUAAUGAUCCUUUAAAUAAAGCCUAUUUAUCAUUGCUGCUUAAAUCAAGGGAAAUGCAGAAAAACAGCAGCGUGACUGAAGAUCCAGUCAGUUUUGUAUUCCAUGUUUAAUUAGGUCUGUUGCUUCUGCAACAUAGGUAAAAGUAUUUUUAAUAUCUAAGUCCAAAUCCAGAUCCAAAUCCAGUGUCGCCGACUGCACAUGCGCAUCUUUUCAUGACAGUGAAGCUGCAUGCAAGUAUGAGAUGGCAGAGAUGAUACCACUUUGUGUCUCUUCAAGAUUUAUAAAUGGUGCAGGAGCGAAAGGGUUAAGAAAAACCCUCUCCAUAUACCUGGUAUAUAAAACUGUCAUGUAAUCAAAUGAGAGGAAUGUACUCCACUGUGUACAUUAGCAAACACUCCAUGCAAGCUGGCUGGCUGAGGCUCAGGGUUUUCAGUGCUGCCUUGCACUACAAAGCCCUCCUUUGUUCUCUCAGCUCUGUUUUAAAUAUCUGAUGACUAUUCCACACCAUGUCAGUGCCAAAUCCCCAGCUUCACUGCAAACUCUGUACAACAGCACAUUGUGGGCUGAUCGGAUGGGGAUGGGCUGGUGGAGUGUGGGUAUCACCCCUUUCUUUGCUUCUCAGGCAGGUCCUCUCACUAACUCUGCCAUCUCCCUGUAAUUUCUGUAGCUCCUUGUGCAGCCACCUGGAUAGAUUUCAAAGCCACAAGGAAUAACUUCCGAGUGCAGAAACUGAACUUGGAUCCUGACAUGGCAACUGCACUCUGCAAGUGUGCAUCAGUAUGGGUGUAGCCUUGGUUCAGCCGAGGAAGGGCAAAUGAAUCAAAGAGUGUUCUUGCAACAGCUAUUUUUGUUGAAACUUGUUGCACCUAUACCAUUGUUGGCUGGAUCUUGCAUGAGCUUGCUAGCUAAGUGGGAUCGGGCUUUGAAAAAAUCAGAUGAAAGAUUUCCUAUGAACACACAGGAGGGCAGGAAGUGAUGCCGAUGACUCAGGAGACGAUGGAAAGGACCAAACAAAUUUAACCUGGGAAGGAACCAGUCCUGCCCUGCAGAACAUAAAAGUGAGGAACACUGCCUUAAAAGAUCUUUUACCUGAUGCUGCGUUACCCAGAACUACUGAUGAGACUCCUAGCAAUGCAUCCAGCCUACAGAAAGGCAAAUGCAACCUGGACUAAGAAAUGAAUGAAUGAAUGAAUAAAUGACAACACUGUUUUCUCAAAAAUCCAGCGAAGCA